AUGUCAUGGUGAGAGCAUUUCUCAACAAAUCUUUAAACCUCUCUAUGCAUCAGGAACAACUUCAUCGUUCAUUUGUUUAAAAAGACAGAUUUUAUUUUUGGACUU